AGUAAAGUGCCUGAGAAAAAGGGCUAUCUUGAUGCGAUAGAUUAUGGUGGAAACUCUUUACUA
rnacentral:tRNA from 1 species